AUUGAACGCUGGCGGCAGGCCUAACACAUGCAAGUCGAACGAGUGGCAGACGUGAGAGAAAUGUCUGGGAAACUGCCUGAUUGAGGGGGAUAUCUUCUGGAAACUGUAGCUAAUACCGCAUCCCAUCGGAUGUCCCCAUAUGGUAUUAGCUAGUAGGGGGUGGAAAGGCUCACCUAGGCGACGAUCCCUCGCUGGUCUGAGAGGAUGACCAGCCACACUGGAACUGAGACACGGUCCAGACUCCUACGGGAGGCAGCAGUGGGGAAUAUUGCACAAUGGGCGCAAGCCUGAUGCAGCCAUGCCGCGUGUAUGAAGAAGGCCUUCGGGUUGUAAAGUACUUUCAGCGGGGAGGCGUUACUCGCAGAAGAAGCACCGGCUAACUCCGUGCCAGCAGCCGCGGUAAUAC
rnacentral:rRNA from 1 species